rnacentral:tRNA from 3 species
GGGCGAUUAGCUCAGCUUGGUUAGAGCACUACCUUGACAUGGUAGGGGUCACUGGUUCGAGUCCAGUAUCGCCCACCA